rnacentral:rRNA from 1 species
GACGAACGCUGGCGGCGUGCCUAACACAUGCAAGUCGAGCGGGGUUGAAGCGAGGGGUAACUCGAGUUUCUACCUAGCGGCGGACGGGUGAGUAACGCGUGGGCAACCUGCCUCAAGGACUGGGAUAACAGCUCGAAAGGGCUGCUAAUACCGGAUAAGCCUAUGGCCUCGCAUGGGGCCAUGAGCAAAGGGGAAACCCGCCUUGAGAUGGGCCCGCGUCCCAUCAGCUAGUUGGUGAGGUGAAGGCUCACCAAGGCGACGACGGGUAGCCGGCCUGAGAGGGUGACCGGCCACACUGGGACUGAGACACGGCCCAGACUCCUACGGGGGCAGCAGUGGGGAAUCUUGCACAAUGGGCGAAAGCCUGAUGCAGCGACGCCGCGUGAGCGAAGAAGGCCUUCGGUUGUAAGCUCUGUCUGGAGGGACGAAGGAAGUGACGGUACCUCCGGAGGAAGCCACGGCUAACUACGUGCCAGCAGCCGCGGUAAACGUAGCGUG